GCUAACUCCGUGCCAGCAGCCGCGGUAAUACGGAGGGUGCAAGCGUUAAUCGGAAUUACUGGGCGUAAAGCGCGCGUAGGCGGUUUGUUAAGCGAGAUGUGAAAGCCCCGGGCUUAACCUGGGAAUUGCAUUUCGAACUGGCAAGCUAGAGUGUAGAAGAGGGGUGUGGAAUUUCCGGUGUAGCGGUGAAAUGCGUAGAGAUCGGAAGGAACACCAGUGGCGAAGGCGACACCCUGGUCUAACACUGACGCUGAGGUGCGAAAGCGUGGGUAGCAAACAGGAUUAGAUACCCUGGUAGUC
rnacentral:rRNA from 1 species